UACGUAGGCAGCAAGCGUUGUUCGGAGUUACUGGGCGUAACGGGUGUGUAGGCGGUUUUUUAAGUUUGGUGUGAAAUCUCCCGGCUCAACUGGGAGGGUGCGCCGAAUACUGAAAGACUAGAGUGCGGGAGAGGAAAGUGGAAUUCCUGGUGUAGCGGUGAAAUGCGUAGAUAUCAGGAGGAACACCGGUGGUGUAGACGGCUUACUGGACACAUAUUGACGCUGAGGUGCGAAAGCGCGGGGAGCAAACAGG
rnacentral:rRNA from 1 species